UACAGAGGUCCCAAGCGUUGUUCGGAUUCAUUGGGCGUAAGGGUGCGUAGGCGGCGCGGUAAGUCGGGUGUGAAAUCUCGGAGCUUAACUCCGAAACUGCAUUCGAUACUGCCGUGCUUGAGGACUGGAGAGGAGACUGGAAUUUACGGUGUAGCGGUGAAAUGCGUAGAUAUCGUAAGGAAGACCAGUGGCGAAGGCGGGUCUCGUGGACAGUUCCUGACGCUGAGGCACGAAGGCCAGGGGAGCAAACGGG
rnacentral:rRNA from 1 species